UCCCCAGUGGCGCAAUUGGUUAGCGCCUGGUACUUACAAUGCCGAGGUUGUGAGUUCGAUCCUCACCUGGGGAA
rnacentral:tRNA from 1 species